ACAUUUUCCAUUCCUUCAUGUUGUGAUUAUCUCUGAAUCACGUUCUGUAUGAAGCUGUACUCACUUAGUCUCCCAAGACUUUUUUUAAUACAAUUUUUUUUUCCCAUUUAACAGCACUCAGGUCUUGCAGCACAUCAGACUAAAUCAUCAUUAUCGUCUUUGGAUUUCUUUCUGUCAUUUCCAGUGUUCCUUCACUUCUUGGCACAUUCUAUCCCUCUGUAACCUUUAAAGAAGAAGUGAAAAACAGGACACGUUUUUUUUCUUUUUCACAGCUCUCCUUAUUUUUGUGUUUGUUUGGGAUUUUUUCUACAAUUUCACUAGCAAGGUGCUAGUUGAAGAAGCUGAAAGUGAAACUGUCUGAAAAUGAGAGUGAAGAAAACUGGCCUGCUUCUAUAAUUUCAACAGAAAGCACCCCAGGUAAACAAAAUGGCACACUUGUGCAAUCAGCAAUGAAGAAUUCUCCCUACUUAAAUGGCUGAAGUGAGACAAGUGGAGAGAGAAAGUACGGCUUUCUGUGAGAGCUGGGGAAAAAAUCACAACGUAAUUCCCCACGGCCUCCAGUUGCCUCAUGACCACGCUCCUAUCCUGCCCUGACCCUGUGCUGACGGACUCCUGAGAGCCUGCAGGGGCAGAGUGCUGCAUCACCCCAUUGCCACCUCUUUCCAAUGGGCAUCUGUCCACAUCAGUGGCUGCAGGAGAACCAUCAGCAAUCCUGGAGCAGCUCUUUGAGUUCCCCAGGCUGUGCUGCCAGGGAGUUUCAGCUUCUGGGAAAGGCCUCAGCAAGGAAAAGCAUUCUCAAAGUCAUCUAAUUGUUCAGGACAUACUGAGUAUCUGCACUUAGAGAAAUCAUGUUCAGGUGGAGCUCCCUUGAAGGCAAGGCACCGGGAAGCCAAGAUGAGUUUUCAGAAAAAUUAUUCCUGAACUGCAUCAACGGGGGACCAGCUGCUGACCCCAAGUGUUUAAGGACUACAGAUAAUCAUGGAUGAAAAGAGACAAAAAUACAUUUUAUCUAAGAAGUAUCUACUGUUGUGAUAGAGACUGAAAUUAAAGUAUAAUCCAGAGAGAGAGAGAGAGAGGGGCAGAGAGUAUUCUUUAAUUAAAAUCAGCUACCUCAAAAGAUGGAUAUUCUCAGGAGGGAAAUUUGCACUGUGCUGAAGGCUUCCCACUUAAACCCUUGAUGAUGCAAGGAAAAAGAAUUCUCAAGGAGAAAUAUUGGCAUUAGCUGAUAGCCACUUGCCACUGCACAAUACAGCAAAAUUUGCAGAGGAAAAAUAUGUGGACAAUAGAACGGAAACACCGACAAAAUAGGAAGCUAUCUGAAACACAAAGCCGUGAUUAUCCAGCAACAAAUGAAUAGUUUGGCAAAGAAAGAGACAUAAGAUAGGAACUUGGAGAUAGAGAAAGAAAAAUUAAACCCGAAGCAGUAGAGAUCAAUGAAAACAAUCAGCACUUUCUGCCAGGAGAUAUGUUAAAAAGGCUGAAACCAAAGUUUCAGAUAAUGUGUUCAAAAUGAUCCAUCGCCCCAACCGCCAUCUCCAUAGCAAUUAAUGUCCUAGGCAAAGACAGAGUAUGACUGAAGCAGCGGAGGUUGUGUGGACCCCAGUGGCAGGCAGCAGGUGAAAGGCACAGCAGUCAUUUGGGGGUAGUUUGGGGCUUACAGUGUAAUGGCCUCACCUUCAGAAAUGGACUGCUUCUGGCAAGGCAGGAACCACAGCGCAUGCCCUGAGGGAGUGCUUCUGAGGAGUGUUUCAUAGCGAGUCCUCUUCUGUUCCCAUUUUAGCUACCAUCACAGAUGGCUUCCUGCGAUACAAAGAAGGCUUCUGGCAAGGCAGUUUGCUGCAUAACGUUUGAAUUGGAUGUGAUGGAAGUAUAACCUUACAGAAACUCCCUUUCACCAGCAUUUAUUUCUUUGUGCUCAGCAGCUACUUUGCACUGACACUGCCUUCCUAACACUGCACUCACUCACGAAUCUCUCUUGCACAAAUUUUACCUAACAGUUGUCUGCAACCAGGUGGUCUUUGUGCAAAGCCUGCAGUGAGGAAAAAUUUAUCUUUUUUUUUUUUUAUAUACAUAUAUAUUCUUCUGGAAGAGUGAUUCAUUCCUGUGGUGGAAUCAUAUCUCUCCAGCUAUGUCUGGGAGGAGCAGCAGAGCACCCUCCCUCUGUUGAGAGCACCCUAUUGAUAGAAAGGAUGCACACAUCUCCAUUGGCUGUAAAUUCUUUGCAGUUUUGCUGUAUGUGAUUCAAUUUUUUUUUUUUUCCAAAAAGAGCCUAAAUCUAAAUUGUUUGUAUAAUAUUGACCAUACGAUAUCACAGGCAGGCAGAAUGGGACAUGUGGCAGGGGACUUCUUAAUGCACCAGAUUCAAAACCAUGUAUACAUCUUGGCUGAGUCCCAGAUCCCAAAGGGUCACUGUUUGUUCAGGAUGAGUUUCAGUUCAAGCAGAGCAGUUGGUUGGCCAGUCAUGGGAGUACAUUGUGCAGGUACUCCUUCUCCCAGACCUUUGAAGGAAUUAUAAUACCCAUAGUACUUCAAGUGCCAAAAUAUCUUACUCAAACCUGGUAUUAGUUACCAGUGUUCUCCUGAAAGGAAAAAACAAUUUGAGGCAGUAAAAGAGCAAGGCCCUCUUGGCAAUAUUUCUUACAGUGGAAAUUGGUGGAUCAGUAUAUGAGCUGAGCUUCAAGUCUCUGAGUUACAGCUUCUCAUGGCAUCACUCCUCAUUCACCCAGUUUGCACAGAUGCCACGGUCCUGUGGAGCACACUUGGGCACACAAGAUGGCUGUUUCAUUGGAGAAGACAAGUUCUGAAAGUCCAGCGAUGGUGGAACAUACUGGCAAGCAGUAUUCACAUGUUAACAGAUUUCCACUCAAACUGGCAAAUAGGAAUGUCUAUGUUAGAAAUGCUGUGUGAAAGCCAAGGCAACAAAAGUCAAAAUGUGCAUAUGAUAAUAUGUGGUACACACAGUAUAUGUCACAAUGUUUACCAUCACUUCAAAACAUGCACCCACCCACAGUUCUUCACUAGCGGCAUCCUGGAACUUCUCCAAUUGGGAUUAGCUAUAUGCAGCAAAAGUCAAUUAAAAUCAGCCAUUAUUGUACAGAUCAUGAGAUCCAUAGUGCAAGA
rnacentral:lncRNA from 1 species